GUCCCUGAAGCGCAAUAGAUAACGCGUUGGAUAUAUAAUCCAAGAUCCAUUGCAUCCCAGUUGGGUUCGAAUCCCAACUGGGAUA